GGAGUUUUAACUAAACAUGAGCCGUCAAGUGCUGCAAUAAUAAGUAAGAACAAUAAAUUGGUUAUAAAACAAUAACAAAACACGUUUAAAAAAUUACUUACUGAAAUUUAUUCCAUGGACGUUGUUGCAUGUAUAAGUCGGAAUACAUUUAUCUUGAACAAAUCGAGUAAACACGUAAGUUUUUCCUGCCUCGCACAAUCCAGUGAGAAGAAUAUUCCGUUUUGCUGAUUUUCUUCUCUGCCAGAAUGUGAAGAAAACUGAAAAAAUUUAUCAAUUGUAAAUUAUAAAACUAUAAAAAAAAAAAAAUGUACACUCCAAAACUCGAACUGAAAAAGCGCAAAACAAACUUCAAGUGUCUUAAAUAUUUAAAUACACAUGAAAAAAUUUAAGUACAAA